CUGAUGGGCUGGAGGUUGGAGGACUGAUUCUGGGGCAGAAGGGAAACACAUGAGGUUUUUAGCUCCAAGAAGGGACUAAUUCACUAAACGUCAUGGCAAUUUUCCUGGACUGCAAAAAGGAGCGAGGACAUGGAAGCCUACAGAUCCAGGCUUUGCUUUCUAACCCCACCUGGGCAAUUCUCACCCUUCCCAACUCAGGUUUCACCCGCAGGAAAAGCCUGGCCGCAGGCUGCCACAGGCCAGCCACGCAUGACGUACAGAGCAGCCCUUGUCUCACCCAGUAGGAGUGAUGCAGGCAAAAAACACACCUGAUCCCAUCGCUUUCCAUGGCAACAGGGCUGCUCGUCAGGCCAGAUAACAAUGAUCCAUCAUCAGGAAGAGGCUUAUCCUAUGACAAGAGAGUGUUUUUGAAAGGUAACACGUCAGCAACAACUCCUCAACAACACUGUUUGUUAUUGUGGUACAUACAAAGAGAGGGCAAGGCUGCCAGCAUAACUUGCAUAUGGAACAGAAGACUCCUGCCCUGGAAGAAGGAACUGAGUACAGUCAUUCCCUUUCUCCGUGGGGAAUAUGUUCCAAGGCUCCCAGUGGAUGCCUGAAACCAUGGAGACUACUGAGCCCGACAUAUACUAUGUUUUUCCCUCUACACACAUACCUACAAUAGAGUUUAAUUUAUAA